rnacentral:rRNA from 1 species
GUGGGGAAUCUUGCGCAAUGGGCGAAAGCCUGACGCAGCCAUGCCGCGUGAAUGAUGAAGGUCUUAGGAUUGUAAAAUUCUUUCACCGGGGACGAUAAUGACGGUACCCGGAGAAGAAGCCCCGGCUAACUUCGUGCCAGCAGCCGCGGUAAUACGAAGGGGGCUAGCGUUGCUCGGAAUUACUGGGCGUAAAGGGCGCGUAGGCGGACAGUUUAGUCAGAGGUGAAAGCCCAGGGCUCAACCUUGGAAUUGCCUUUGAUACUGGCUGUCUUGAGUACGGGAGAGGUGAGUGGAACUCCGAGUGUAGAGGUGAAAUUCGUAGAUAUUCGGAAGAUCACCAGUGGCGAAGGCGACUCACUGGCCCGUUACUGACGCUGAGGCGCGAAAGCGUGGGGAGCAAACAGGAUUAGAUACCCCGGUAGUCC